UACGAAGGGGGCUAGCGUUGCUCGGAAUUACUGGGCGUAAAGCGCACGUAGGCGGCUCUUUAAGUCGGGGGUGAAAUCCUGGAGCUCAACUCCAGAACUGCCUUCGAUACUGGGAGUCUCGAGUCCGGGAGAGGUGAGUGGAACUGCGAGUGUAGAGGUGAAAUUCGUAGAUAUUCGCAAGAACACCAGUGGCGAAGGCGGCUCACUGGCCCGGUACUGACGCUGAGGUGCGAAAGCGUGGGAGCAACA
rnacentral:rRNA from 1 species